AGAGUUUGAUCCUGGCUCAGGAUGAACGCUAGCGGCAGGCUUAAUACAUGCAAGUCGAACGGGAUUCGGGGUAGCAAUACUUUGAUGAGAGUGGCGCACGGGUGCGUAACGCGUAUGCAACCUACCUUUAACAGGGGAAUAGCCCCGAGAAAUCGGGAUUAAUACUCCGUAACAUUGCGGUGUGGCAUCACACUGCACUUAAAGCUGAGGCGGUUAAAGAUGGGCAUGCGUGACAUUAGCUAGUUGGUGAGGUAACGGCUCACCAAGGCAACGAUGUCUAGGGGUCCUGAGAGGGUUAUCCCCCACACUGGUACUGAGACACGGACCAGACUCCUACGGGAGGCAGCAGUAAGGAAUAUUGGUCAAUGGGCGCAAGCCUGAACCAGCCAUGCCGCGUGCAGGAAGACGGCCCUAUGGGUUGUAAACUGCUUUUAUCAGGGAAUAAACCCCCGCUCGUGAGCGGGGCUGAAGGUACCUGAAGAAUAAGCAUCGGCUAACUCCGUGCCAGCAGCCGCGGUAAUACGGAGGAUGCAAGCGUUAUCCGGAUUCAUUGGGUUUAAAGGGUGCGCAGGCGGAUUGGUAAGUCAGGGGUGAAWUCCCACAGCUCAACUGUGGAACUGCCUUUGAUACUGUCAGUCUAGAGUAUAGUUGAAGUUGGCGGAAUGUGUCAUGUAGCGGUGAAAUGCUUAGAUAUGACACAGAACACCGAUCGCGAAGGCAGCUAGCUAASCUAUAACUGACGCUCAUGCACGAAAGCGUGGGGAUCAAACAGGAUUAGAUACCCUGGUAGUCCACGCUGUAAACGAUGAUUACUCGAUGUUGGCGAUACACAGUCAGCGUCUGAGCGAAAGCAAUAAGUAAUCCMCCKGGGGAGUACGAUCSCAAGAUUGAAACUCAAAGGAAUUGACGGGGACCCSCMCAAGCAGCGGAGCAUGUGGUUUAAUUCGAAGCAACGCGAAGAACCUUACCUAGACUUGACAUCUCCUGAAUUACUCGUAACAGAGGAAGCCCUUCGGGGCAGGAAGACAGGUGGUGCAUGGUUGUCGUCAGCUCGUGUCGUGAGAUGUUGGGUUAAGUCCCGCAACGAGCGCAACCCUUAUCGUUAGUUGCUACCAUUAAGUUGAGCACUCUAGCGAGACUGCCUGGGUUAACCAGGAGGAAGGUGGGGAUGACGUCAAAUCAUCAUGCCCCUUAUGUCUAGGGCUACACACGUGCUACAAUGGCCGGUACAACGAGAAGCAAACCCGUGAGGGGGAGCCAAACUAAAAAACCGGUCCCAGUUCGGAUUGUAGGCUGAAACUCGCCUACAUGAAGUUGGAGUUGCUAGUAAUCGCGAAUCAGAAUGUCGCGGUGAAUACGUUCCCGGGUCUU
rnacentral:rRNA from 1 species